rnacentral:rRNA from 1 species
UACACUCCUGCGGGAGGCAGCAGUGAGGAAUAUUGGACAAUGGGUGGAAGCCUGAUCCAGCCAUCCCGCGUGCAGGAAGACGGCCCUAUGGGUUGUAAACUGCUUUUAUCUGGGGAUAAACCUACUUACGUGUAAGUAGCUGAAGGUACCAGAAGAAUAAGCACCGGCUAACUCCGUGCCAGCAGCCGCGGUAAUACGGAGGGUGCAAGCGUUAUCCGGAUUUAUUGGGUUUAAAGGGUCCGUAGGCGGACUGAUAAGUCAGUGGUGAAAUCCGACAGCUUAACUGUCGAACUGCCAUUGAUACUGUUAGUCUUGAGUAAGGUUGAAGUGGCUGGAAUAAGUAGUGUAGCGGUGAAAUGCAUAGAUAUUACUUAGAACACCAAUUGCGAAGGCAGGUCACUAAGUCUUAACUGACGCUGAUGGACGAAAGCGUGGGGAGCGAACAGGAUUAGAAACCCUAGUAGUCC